AUUGAACGCUGGCGGCAUGCCUUACACAUGCAAGUCGAACGGUAACAGGUCUUCGGAUGCUGACGAGUGGCGAACGGGUGAGUAAUGCAUCGGAACGUGCCCAGUUGUGGGGGAUAACUGCUCGAAAGAGCAGCUAAUACCGCAUACGACCUGAGGGUGAAAGCGGGGGACCGCAAGACCUCGCGCAAUUGGAGCGCGCGAUGUCAGAUUAGGUAGUUGGUGGGGUAAAGGCCUACCAAGCCGGCGAUCUGGAGUUGUUCUGAGAGGACGACCAGCCACACUGGGACUGAGACACGGCCCAGACUCCUACGGGAGGCAGCAGUGGGGAAUUUUGGACAAUGGGCGCAAGCCUGAUCCAGCAAUGCCGCGUGCAGGAAGAAGGCCUUCGGGUUGUAAACUGCUUUUGUCAGGGAAGAAAUCCUCUGGGUUAAUACCCCGGGGGGAUGAUGGUACCUGAAGAAUAAGCACCGGCUAACUACGUGCCAGCCGCCGCCGUAAUAC
rnacentral:rRNA from 1 species